rnacentral:rRNA from 1 species
AACGAACGCUGGCGGCGCGCCUAAUACAUGCAAGUCGAGCGAGAAGACGUAGCAAUACGUUUGUAAAGCGGCGAACGGGUGAGGAAUACAUGGGUAACCUACCCUCGAGUGGGGAAUAACUAGCCGAAAGGUUAGCUAAUACCGCGUACGCUUCUUGGACUUCGGUUCAGGGAGGAAAGCGAUACCGUGGGUAUCGCGCUCUUGGAUGGGCUCAUGUCCUAUCAGCUUGNGGUGAGGUAACGGCUCACCAAGGCUUCGACGGGUAGCUGGUCUGAGAGGACGAUCAGCCACACUGGCACUGCGACACGGGCCAGACUCCUACGGGAGGCAGCAGUAAGGAAUAUUGCGCAAUGGGCGAAAGCCUGACGCAGCGACGCCGCGUGGGGGAUGAAGGUCUUCGGAUU